rnacentral:rRNA from 1 species
GACAGAGGGUGCAAACGUUGUUCGGAAUUACUGGGCGUAAAGCGCGUGUAGGCGGCUAAGCAAGUCGGGCGUGAAAUCCCACCGCUCAACGGUGGAAGUGCACCCGAAACUGCAUAGCUAGAGUCCUGGAGAGGAAGGUGGAAUGCUUGGUGUAGAGGUGAAAUUCGUAGAUAUCGAGAGGAACACCGGUGGCGAAGGCGGCCUUCUGGACAGUGACUGACGCUGAGACGCGAAAGCGUGGGGAGCAAACAGG